rnacentral:rRNA from 1 species
ACUACGGGAUGCAGCAGUGGGGGAUAUUGCACAAUGGGGGGAACCCUGAUGCAGCGACGCCGCGUGGGUGAAGAAGCGCCUCGGCGCGUAAAGCCCUGUCAGCAGGGAAGAAAAUGACGGUACCUGCAGAAGAAGCCCCGGCUACCUACGUGCCAGCAGCCGCAGUAAUACGUAGGGGGCAAGGGUUAUCCGGAUUACCUGGGUGUAAAGGGGGCGCAGACGGCGAUGAAAGCCAGGAGUGAAAGCCCGGGGCCAAAACCCGGGACUGCUGUUGGAACUGCGUGGCUGGAGUGCAGGAGGGGCAGGCGGAAUUCCUGGUGUAGCGGUGAAAUGCGUAGAUAUCAGGAGGAACACCGGUUGCGAAGGCGGCCUGCUGGACUGCAACUGACGUUGAGGCCCGAAAGCGUGGGGAGCAAACAGGAUUAGAUACCCUUGUAGUC